GAUUUUCAUUUAAUAUGUGCACUCAGAAAGAUAUAACUCCUUUUUAAUUACUUCUGCUAAAUUGAGGUGUGUUAGAGGAUGUCUGGUGACACCUUUUCAAGAGAAACAUAUGGCUGCUGCUAUUUUUAUACAUAGUUUCAUCUCAGCUUCAUACUCAGAGUAACAUGGAAAAAGGAUUUUCCUCACUCUAGGAGUUCCCUUCUCAUAUACAGUGUUGUGAGGAGGAGAAAGAUGAAGAUACAACUAUUGAGGAAAAACGUCACAUUUGGUGUUAUUUCUGAUUUAAAUCACUGAAGAAAAUUUGGCUCAUGCAGAAUUCAGUAGGAUUUACUUCAGUCAAGAGUCAUAGGAUUACCGUUCCGUUACAGA